GAGUUGACAAGCGAGAGUUUACAUGAGAGUUUUCUCAAAUUUCAUUGCUUGAUCAAACGAGAACAAGAGUUGCAUGAGAGUUGACAAGCGAGAGUUUAUCUGAGAGUUUCCUCAAAUUUCAUUGCUUGAUCAAACGAGAACAAGAGUUGCAUGAGAGUUGACAAGCGAGAGUUUACAUGAGAGUUUUCUCAACUUUUAUCGUUUGAUCAAACGAGAACAACAGUUUUAACUCUCGUCUUUGCUUGAUUAGGGCUAAUUCAGAUGAAAUUUAAACGCCUUUAGCUUUCUUUGCGAAGGCAAAACGAUCGUUGCUGGUCUUCUCGAAUUCGUUUUAAAUAUAUAUUUGGCCUAGAAUUUAUUCCAACCUUGGGCCAACAUCAAACAGUGUAUAGAUUCUUAGUCGUUGAUCCUGUCUUUAUCAUCGUAUCUGCAUGUGUCUGAAAA
rnacentral:lncRNA from 1 species